CAGGAUGAACGCUGGCGGCGUGCUAACACAUGCAAGUCGAACGAGCGGACGGCCUUCGGGCCUGAAGCGAGUGGCGGACGGGUGAGUAACGCGUGGGUAACCUGCCUUACACAGGGGGAUAACAGUUAGAAAUGACUGCUAAUACCGCAUAAGCGCACAGUACCGCAUGGUACAGUGUGAAAAGUUCCGGCGGUGUAAGAUGGACCCGCGUUAGAUUAGCCAGUUGGCGGGGUAACGGCCCACCAAAGCGACGAUCUAUAGCCGGCCUGAGAGGGCGACCGGCCACAUUGGGACUGAGACACGGCCCAGACUCCUACGGGAGGCAGCAGUGGGGAAUAUUGCACAAUGGGGGAAACCCUGAUGCAGCCGACGCCGCGUGAGUGAUGAAGUAUUUCGGUAUGUAAAGCUCUAUCAGCAGGGAAGAAAAUGACGGUACCUGACUAAGAAGCCCCGGCUAACUACGUGCCAGCAGCCGC
rnacentral:rRNA from 1 species